rnacentral:rRNA from 1 species
UGGCGGACGGGUGAGUAAUGUCUGGGAAACUGCCCGAUGGAGGGGGAUAACUACUGGAAACGGUAGCUAAUACCGCAUAACGUCGCAGGACCAAAAAGGGGGACCUUAGGGCCUCUUGCCAUCGGAUGUGCCCAGAUGGGAUUAGCUAGUAGGUGGGGUAACGGCUCACCUAGGCGACGAUCCCUAGCUGGUCUGAGAGGAUGACCAGCCACACUGGAACUGAGACACGGUCCAG